rnacentral:rRNA from 1 species
UACGAAGGGGGCAAGCGUUGUCCGGAAUUAUUGGGCGUAAAGAGCGUGUAGGCGGUCCGGUAAGUCGGCUGUGAAAGUCCAGGGCUCAACCCUGGGAUGCCGGUCGAUACUGCCGGACUAGAGUUCGGAAGAGGCGAGUGGAAUUCCCGGUGUAGCGGUGAAAUGCGCAGAUAUCGGGAGGAACACCUAUGGCGAAGGCAGCUCGCUGGGACGUUACUGACGCUGAGACGCGAAAGCGUGGGGAGCAAACAGG